CCUUCAUCCGAGAGCCCAUAUCUUCAGCAGAGCGACUUGCUAUGACCCUGAGGUAUCUGUCCUCAGGAGCCCUCAUGCAAGACAUUGCCCUAUCAUUUCAUGUGGGCAUAUUCACAGCUCGUGAGGCCGUGCAAGAGACACGUGCGGCACUUUGGUCCAGACUGAAACCACUGUACAUGCCUGAGCCAAAGACGGAGACAUGGCUGCAUAUCGCUGAAG